rnacentral:misc_RNA from 1 species
AAGACUAUAGACCUGCGGAGUACCUGCGGAAGGAUCAUUAGUGAACGCCCUCGCGGGCUUAUAACUAUUCCAAACCUCUGUGAACCGUGCCCUUCGGGGCUAUUUUACAAACAUGGUGUAAUGAACGUCAUAUAUCAUAACAAAACAAAACUUUUAACAAUGGAUCUCU